ACUGAAACAUUAUUAAAGUGUUUCUUUCGACAUUUUCAUAAAAGUGAAAAGUUUAAGCUAACUAAAUUGAUUUAGUCAUGUUGACACUUGUUGUAUUUCUAUUGGUUCCUUAUAUUAACGAGGCUAAUCUGAGAUGCAUUUAUGGGGACAGACCGAUUUGUGGAAGUGACGGAGUCACAUAUUUAAACUUAUGUGAUUUGCAAAUAAUACGUACUGUCCACCCUUACGUGCACGUAAGACACAUAGGACAGUGCGCAAUCGGGAAACAACUCGUCGCCCUAAAUCAACAAAUGAAAUCAGUGGGAUCUCCAAACGGAGGAUAUCUUCGAGAUGGGAAAAAAAAGUCCCGUCGGCCCUCUAAGCCGAGUUCGAAUGAUGAAUAUGGCGAUUUCAGAGAGAGGUUUAUAACCAAACUAUAUAGUUCGAUGCUUCAGUUAAGCGCCUUCGAAAACUUUAACAUGGAGAACAAUAGUAUAGCGACGAGCGGAGACAACAAUUUAUUCCAGAUAAGUUUCGACUGAGUCGCCACCUGAGGUUGAGUUACCAUAUUAAAGAUUUACUGUAAGUGUGGCCGCUGUCGGGUUUAUACUCUUUAGGAAAAUUCAAAAUGCUUCAGGCAAGCGAGAUCUAUUUUCAGAAAAUUCUAUUUUAAUUUGAAUAAAUUAAUCACUAGGUA